rnacentral:rRNA from 1 species
UAGCGUAUAUUAAAGUUGUUGCGGUUAAAAAGCUCGUAGUUGGAUUUCUGCUGUGGGCAGCCGGUCCACACUAUGUGUGAGUAUCUGGUUCGACCACGGCAUCCUCUCGAUAAACGUUGGCGCGCUUCAUUGCGUGGCACGGGCUCGGGACUUUUACUUUGAGGAAAUUAGAGUGUUCACGGCAGGCGUUUGCCUUGAAUAUAUUAGCAUGGAAUAAUGAUAUAGGCGACUGAGUCUAUUUUGUUGGUUUCUAGGCUCAGUUGAAUGAUUAAUAGGGACAGUUGGGGGCAUUCGUAUUAUGACGUC